GUGCACGCUGGCGGUAGGCCUAACACAUGCCAGUCGAACGGCAGCACAGUAAGAGCUUGCUCUUACGGGUGGCGAGUGGCGGACGGGUGAGGAAUACAUCGGAAUCUACUUUUUCGUGGGGGAUAACGUAGGGAAACUUACGCUAAUACCGCAUACGACCUACGGGUGAAAGCAGGGGAUCUUCGGACCUUGCGCGAUUGAAUGAGCCGAUGUCGGAUUAGCUAGUUGGCGGGGUAAAGGCCCACCAAGGCGACGAUCCGUAGCUGGUCUGAGAGGAUGAUCAGCCACACUGGAACUGAGACACGGUCCAGACUCCUACGGGAGGCAGCAGUGGGGAAUAUUGGACAAUGGGCGCAAGCCUGAUCCAGCCAUGCCGCGUGGGUGAAGAAGGCCUUCGGGUUGUAAAGCCCUUUUGUUGGGAAAGAAAAGCAGCAGGUUAAUACCCCGCUGUUCUGACGGUACCCAAAGAAUAAGCACCGGCUAACUUCGUG
rnacentral:rRNA from 1 species